rnacentral:lncRNA from 1 species
GUUUUAUCCCAUGCGGUUUCUCCAUAGUGAGUGUGUUCUCAUGAGAUAUGACAGUUUAAAAGUGUGUGGCAGUUCCCCCAUCUUGCUCUCUCUCCCGUCACCAGUUAUACACAAGAUGAAUGGAUUAACCACUGGAAGACCUGCACUACUACAAAUGUUAAAGAAAGUCCUUCCAAGAAAGAAAAAAGGCAACUUAAUGGAAACUUGUGUCUACCAAAUGGAAAGAAGAGCAAUGGGAAUCCUAACUACGAGUGUGAGAAAAAAAGUUGAAUGUGGUGAUGGGGAAAACACUGAAGUUCAAAAGAAGCGAAGACAAGAAGCUACUCAUGGCAGCAGCUUUUCCCAUAAAUCAAGAAAUGCUACAGAUUAUAAAUGAGAUGAGACUAUCAAGAAGAGACCUAAUAGGAGUGUGAAGACCAAAAAUUUAAAAGACGUGGUUAUAUACUUUGAGUAAACUCUAUAUAUAGGACAAUGUUAUUGUUUGGUUCUGUGUUCCUCACUCAAAUCUCACCUCAAAUUAUAAUCCCCAUGUGUCAAGGGCAGGACCAGGUGGAAGUAACUGGAUCAUGGGGGAAGUUUUCCUCAUGCUUUUCUCAUAGUAAGUGAGUUCUCAUAAGAUCUGAUUUUUUUAUAAGCAUAUGGCAUUUCCCCUCCUAGCAUUUUGCCUCCUGCUGCCUUGCAAAGACGGCAGUUGCUUCCCCUUUGCCUUCCGCCAUGACUGUAAGUUCCCUGAGUCCUCUCCAGCCAUGUGGAACUGUGGGUUAAUUAAAUCUCUUUCCUUAUAAAUUACCCAGUCUUGGGCAGUUCUUUAUAGCAGUGUGAAACUGGACUAAAAUAGAAAAUUGGUACCAGGAGAGUGAGGCACUGCUGUAAAGACAUCACUAUAAAGGCACCUGAAAAUGGAAGCAACUUUGGAACUAGCUAAUGGGCAGAGGUUGGAACCAUUUGCAGGGUUCAGAAGAAGACAUGAAGAUGUGGGAAAGUUUGGAAAUUCCUGGAGACUUGUUGAAUGCUUUGACGAAAAUGCUGAUACUGAUAUGGACAAUAAAUUUCAGGCUGAGAUGCUCUCAGAUACAAAUAAAGAACUUGUUGGGAACUGGAAUAAAGGUGACUAUUUGCUAUAUAUGCUUUAGCAAAGAGACUGGUGGCAUUUUGCCUCUGUCCUAGAGAUCUGUGGAGCUUUGAACAUGAGAAAGAUGAUUUAGAAUAUCUGGUGGAAGAAAUUUAUAUGCAGCAAAGUGUUCAAGAAGUGACUCGGGUGCUCUUAAAACCAUUCAGUUGUAUGCAUUCACAAAGAUAUGGUUUGGAAUUGGAACUUAUGUUUAAAAGGGAAGCAGAGAAUAAGAGUUCAGAAAAUUUGCAGCCUGAUGAUGCAAUAGAAAAGAAAAAUCUCAUUUUCUGGGGAGAAAUUCAAGCCUGCUGCAGAAAUUUGCGUAAGUAACAAGGAGACAAAUGUUAGUCACCAAGACAAUGGAGAAUAUGGCCUCAGUCAAUGUCGGAUGUCUUCACUGCAAGCCCUCCAAUCACAGGCCUGAAGGAUUGGAGAGAAAAAAUAAUUUUGUGGGCAAGGCCCAGGGACUUGCUGCUUUGUGCAGUCUCUGAACUUGGUGCCCUGCAUCCCAGCUGUGUCUAAUAGUGGCCAACAUACAGCUCAGGCCAUUGCUUUAGAGGGUGAAAGCCCCAAGCCAUGGUGUCUUACAUGUGGUUUUGGGCCUGCAGAUGCACAGAUGUCAAGAAUUGAGGUUUGAGAACCUCCACCUAGAUUUCAGAGGAUGUAUGGAAACUCUUGGAUGUCCAGGCAGAAGAGUACUACAGGGGCAGAGCUCUCCAUGGAGAACAUCUGCUAGGGCAGUGCAGAGUCCCCACUGGGGCGCUGACUAGUGGAGCUGUGAGAAGAAGGCCACCAACCUCCAGACCCCAGAAUGGUAGAUCCACCAACAUCUUGCAUCGUACACCUAGAAAAGUCACAGACGCUCAACAACACCUCAUGAAAGUAGCCAGGAGAGGCGCUGUAUCCUGCAAAGCCACAGAGGCAGAGCUGCCCAAGGCUGUGGUAUCCCACCUCCUACAUCAGUGUGAUUGGAUGUGAGACAUGUAGUCAAAUGAGGUCAUUUUGGAACUUUUAAGACUUAAUGACUGCUUUAUUGUAUUUUGGACUUGCAUGAGGCUUGUAGCCCCUUUGUUUUAGCCAGUUUAUCUCAUUUGGAAUGGGACUAUUUAUCCAAAGCCUGUACCCCAUUGUAUCUAGGAAGUAACUGACUUGCUUUGGAUUUUACAAGCUCAUAGGCAGAAGGGACUUCCCUUGUCUCAGAUGAGACUUUGGACUGUGGCCUUUUGAGUUAAUGUUAAAAUGAGUUAAGACUUUGAGGAACUGUUGGGGAGGCAUGAUUAGUUUUGAAAUGUAAAAAGACAUGAGAUUUGGGAGGGGCCAAGGACAGAAUAAUACGGUUUGGCUCUGUGUCCCCUUCCAAAUUUCACCUUUAAUUGUAAUCGCCAUAACCCCCACAUGUCAAUGGUGGAAACAGGUAGAGGUAAUUGGAUCGUGGAGGCAGUUUCUUCUAUGCUGUUAUUCAUGAUAGCGAAUGAGUUUUCAUGAGAUCUGAUGGUUUUAUAAGCAUCUGGCAUUUCUUCUGCUUGCACUUCUCAUUCCUGCCACCUUGUGAAGAAGGUGCUUUUCUUCCCAUUUGCGUUCAACCAUUAUUAUAAGUUUCCAGAGGCAAACCCAGCCACACAGAAGUGUGAGUCAAUUAAACCUCUUUUUUAAUAAAUUACCACUCUCAAACAGUUCUUUAUGGCAGUAUGAAGACAGACUAACACAGAAAGAUAUAGCUGUUUUGGAAACAUCAGAAGUACAGUUGUAGCAAUAAAUAAAAUAUGAAUAGAUUAACUUUCGUACACCUAUUUGUGUUGAAAGCACCAGGAGUCAUAGCCAACAAUCACUUUAAUAUUUCUCCAGCUAAUUCUUCUGAUUUAUUUUUAUGUUUGGUUAGCCAGUGACUUCCCCACUAGCUAAAAAAUAUUUUUAAAAGUAUGUAUGUGUUAAUAUAUCUUGACUACUUUUUAAUUUUCCAAUUAAAAAAUAAAUCACACUUUAAUCUCUGUGUCUUGAUUUUUCUCAUUUAAGAAGAGCUCAUUGACUUAGGGGCUACAUACUAUAUGACAAGUUACAUAAAUCACAAUUUUCUUAAAUAUUUCCCUAUUGAUGGUUACUCAGUUUUAUUUUUUUUAUUUUUGCCAUUAGUAACAGUGAAGAAAUUAAUGAUCUUGCAUUUAAAUUUUAAGUACAGGUGAUUGGCUUCUUUUUACAACAUUAAAGAGUUGUAAUUGACAUACAAUAAACUGUAAUUAUAUAGUAGGCAGCUUGCUAAGUAUUGACAUAUGUAUUUACACAUCAAAACAUUACCACUAUUAAGAUAGUCAAACAUCCAUUAUCUCUAAAAGUUUUCACAUGUUACUCUGUAAUUAUUCCUGUCUGACCCUCCCACUGUCCAAAGGUAAUCAAUAACCUGCUUUCUGUCCCUAAAACUCAGUUUGCUAUUUCUAGAAUUUUCUAUAACCAGGAUAAAUUUUUUAAAGAUCUUAUUUUUUUCACUCAAUAGUUAUUUUGGGUGCAUACAUAUUUUUUAGGAUAUCAAUAGUUUGUUUUUAUUGCUAAGGUAUUAUUUUAUUUAUGAAUAUCCCACAAUUUAUUUAUUUAUCCAAAUGUUGAUGGACAUUUGGUUGUUUUGAGUUUGAAACUAUUAUAAAUAAAGCUGCUAUAAUCAUUGGUUUUCUAUUCUUUGUAUAACAUAUAUUGUUGUGGUUGAGGGGUGCAGAUAUCUAGAAAUGAAAUAGCUCGAUUGAUGGUAAGUAUAUAUUUAAUAUUUUAAGGUUCUGUUAAACUGUUUUCCAAAGUAUUUGCGUUAUUUUUCAUUCCCACUAACAGUGCCUGAGGAUUCCAGUUUUUCUACGUGCUUACAAACACUCGAUGUGGUCAGUGUUUUUAAGUUUAGCCUCUCUGAUAGGAGAGUGGCUUUAAUUUGCAUUUCACUCUUAACUAUUGAUGUCAAGCAGAUUUCUGUGUGCCGAUUUGCCAUCUGUAUGUCUUUGGAGAAGUGUCUGUUAACUAUUUUACCAUUUAAUAAAAACUAUGUUGCUUUCUUAUUACUAAGAUUUGGCAGUUAUUUAUAUAUUCUGGAUCCAAGAUCUUUAUGAGAUAUAUGAUAUACAAAUAUGUUCUCCAAGGCUAUGAUUUGCCUUUUAUUUACGUAAUAGUGCCUUGUGAAUAUCAGAAGUCACUUUUGAUGAAGUCUAGUUUACCAAUUUUGUACACUCUGAGAAUUUCAAUGUUUUGCUUUCAUUUUGCUUCAAUCCUAGAUUCUAAUUUCUAUGUAAUUUUCUUUUUUACUCAUGAAUGAAAGUGUGUUUUUUAUGUCAUUUAGAAGAGUUUUAUUCAGUUCCUUUAUAUACUUCUAUUUAUUUUCCAUAUACUUGGGAAUUUUCCAGAGAUAUUUCUGUUACUUUUUUCUAGUUUCUAAUAUCGUUUCUAAUUUCAUCACACUGUGAUCAGAAAACACGUUUUAUGAUUUGAAUCCUUUUAUGUGUAUUGAUAUUUAUUUUAUGGUUUGUAUUAUGGUAAAUAUUCUGUGCACGCAUGGAAAUAAUUUAUAGUCUGUUGUUGUUGUAUGGUAUCUUCUAUAAAGUCAAUUAGGACAAGUUGCUUGAUAGUGUUUUUCAAGUCUUCUUGAUUCCUGUUUACUUGUUCUAUGUAUAAUUGAGAGAAGGUGAUAUGCUUUGGAUUUGUGUUCCUGACCAAAUCUCAUGUCAAAUUGGAGGAGGGGCCUGGUGGGAGGUGAUUAGAUCAUGUGUGUGAAUUUCCUCCUUGUUGUUCUCAUGACAGUGAGUGAGUUCUCAAUGAGAUCUGAUGGUUUAAAAGUGUGUGGCCUUCCCCCUUCUCCUUCUCUCUCCUGCUUUGCCAUGAUAAGAUGUGCUUUCUUCCCCUUCUGCCAUUAUUAUAAGUUUCCUGAUGCCUCUCAGUCAUGCUUCCUGUUAAGCCUGUGGAACUGAAUCAAUUAAGCCUCUUUUCUUUAUAAAUUACCCAGUCUCAUGUAGCUCAUUAUAGCAGUGUGAGAAUGGACUAAUACAGAAAAUUACCAGGAAAGUGGGGAAUUGCUAUCAAGAUAUCUGAAAUGUGGAAGUGACUUUGGAACUGGCUAAUGGGCAGAGAUUGGAACAGUUUGGAGGGCUCAGAAGAAAACAUAAAGAUAAAGGAAAGUUUGUCACUUCCUAGAGACUUGUUGAAUGGCUUUGGCCAAAAUGUUGAUAGUGAUAUGGACAAUGAAGUCCUGGCUGAGGUGGUCUCAGAUGGAGAUGAGAAACUUACAGGAAAUUGGAAUAAAGGUGACUGUUGCUAUGCUUUAGCAAAGAUACUGGUGGCAGUUUGCCCUGCUCUGGAGAUCUAUGGAACUUUGAACUUGAGAAAGAUGAUUUAAGGCAUCUGGCAGAAGAAAUUUCUGAGCAGCAAGGCAUUCAAGAGGUGAACUGGCUGUUCUGAGCAUGUACACAUACUCGUACGUUUGAACAAAGAGAUAAUCAGAAACUGGAACUUAUAUUUAAAAGGAAAGCAAAGCAUAAAAGUUUGGAAUAUUUAUAGCCCGGCUAUAUGGUAGAAAAGAAAAACCCAUUUUUCUGAGGAAAAACUUAAGCCUGCUGCAGAAAUUUUCAUAAGUAAAGAGGAGGUAAAUGUUAAUAGACAAGACAAUGGGGAAAAUGUCUGCAGGGCAUGUGAGAGACCUUCAUGGCAGCACCUCUCAUCACAGGCCAGGAGGUCUAGGAAGAAAAAUGGUUUUGUGGGCCAGGUUCAGGGCCCCCACUACUCUGUGCAGCCUUUGGACAUGGUGUCCUUCAUUCCAGUCACUGCAGUUCCAUCUGGGACUAAAAGGGUUCACGGUACAGCUCAGGCCAUUGCUUCAAAGGGUACAGUCCCUAAGCCUUUGUAGCUUCCAUGUGGUGUUGGAACUGCAAGUGUGCAGAAGGCAAGAGUUGAGGUUUGGGAGCCCCUGCCUGGAUUUUAGAGGAUGGAAAUGCCUGGGUGUCCAGGCAGAAGUGUGCUGCAGGGGCAGAAGUCUCAUGGAGAACCUCUACUGUGGAAGUACAGAAGGGAAAUGUGCGGUUGUAGCACCCACACAAAGUCUCCAUUGAAGCACUGCCUAGUGGAGCUGUGAGAAGAGGGCCAUUAUUCUUCAGACACCAGAAUGAUAGAUUCACUUACAGCUUGCACUGGCACCUAGAAAAGCCACAGACACUCAACACCAGCUUAUGAAAACAGCUGGGGGAGGAGAGCUGUACCCUGCAGAACCACAGGGGUGGAGCUGCCCAAGGCCUUGGUAGCACACCCCUUGCAUCAGCCUGCCGUGGAUGUGAGACAUGGAGUAAAAUGAGAUUAUUUUGGAGCUUUAAGAUUUAAUGACUGACCUGCUGUGUUGUGGCCUGGCAUGAGGCCUGUGGCUUUGUUUGGCCAAUUUCUCCUAACUGGAAUGAGAACAUUUACCCAAUGCCUGUACACCCAUUGUAUCUUGAAAGUAAUUACCUUUUUCCCCCUGCUUUUUUUCAGUGUCAUAGGCAGAAAGGACUUUCCUUGUCUCAGAUAAGACUUUGCACUCAGACUUUUGGGUUAAUGCUGAAAUGAGUUGAGACUUGGGGACUGCUGAGAAGUGGUCAUUGUGUUUUGCAAUGUGAGAAGGACAUGAGAUUUGGGAGGGGCCAAUAUAGAGAACAUAGUCCAUGAAAAUAUAGUCCAUAAAAAUUUCCUUAAUCUCACUAGAGAGGUUGACAUACAAAUUCAAGAAAUACAGAGAAGACUGGUGAUAUGAUUUGGAUUUGUUUCCCCACCCAAAUCUCAUGUUUAAUUGAAGGAGGGGCGUGGUGGGAGGGGAUUAGAUCACAAGUGAGGAUUUCUUCCUUGCUGUCCUUAUGAGAGCAAGUGAAUUCUCACAAGAUCUGAUGGUUUCAAAGUGUGUAGCACUUCCCUUUUCACUCUUUCUCUCCUGCUCUGCCAUGGUAAGACCAGUUUCCUUCCACUUCCCCUUCUGCCAUUAUUGCAUGUUUUGCAUGUUUCCUGAGGCCUCCCAGUUGACCUGUGAGUCAAUUAAAUGUCUUUUCUUUGUAAGUUACCCAGUCUCAGGUAGUUCUUUAUAGCAGUGUGAAAAUGCUAAUACGAAGGGUAUUGAAAUCUCUAACUCCAACUUUUACAGAUUUACUGUUUCUCCUCAUAGUUUUGUAGAGUUUUGCUUCAUUUAUUUUGAAGAUUUGUUAUUAUGGGCAUAAACAUUUAUGAUGAUUGCAUCCUCUUAAUGAGUUGACCCUUUUAUAAUUAUGCAAUGAACUUCUGUAUUCCUAGUGAUAUUUCUCUCUAAAAUCUACUGUAUCUCAUAUUAAUCUAGCAAUUUCCAAUUUUAGUUAACUUUAUCAUUGUAAAUCUUUAACCAAGAUUUUACUUCAAAUUUAUUUGUGUUUUUAUAUUUAAAGAGUGUUUUAAUAGGCAACAUAUAGUUUGGAUAUUGCCAGUUGGGAUUUUUGACUAUGUACACUUUGUAUAUUAUUCCUAUUAUGAUUAAAUCUAUUUAAUUUUAAUUUUACUCAUAUGUGCUUUUUACAAAUUUAUUCUCUCCUUUUAUGAGUCAAUUGAAUAUGUUGUUAGUAUUUUUAAACGUUUUCACAGUCUUAUUUGUUAUAAUCCAUGUUAUAUUAAUUGUUAGUUUACAGUUGGAAAAUAUGCAUCUUUAACUUUUCUCAGUCUAAAGUAAGUGAUACUGUACCUUAUAAUUCUAUGCUUUCAUGCUUCCUCUCCCAUGUGUGUAAUAAAUCCCACGCUAUAUAGUGACUAUUUUUUAACUGAUUAAUUAUAUGUUAAACAGAUUUGAAUAAUUGAUAAAAAGCAUAUAAAGGUUUCUAUGUACUUACUGUUUCCAAUAUUCUUUCUUUCUUUGUUCAGAUUUAUAUUUCCAUUUGUAUCAUUUUUCUUCUAAAAAAUUUCUUAAAAUAUUUCUUGUACAGUAGGUCUGUUGGAAUCAAAGUACAGGUGGUUUUGAUGGAAACAAUUGGAAAUGAUCCCUAGAGCUUGUAUUGUUAAUUUUAAAAACACAUGCAUUAUUUUAAUAUUUCAUUGUAACUAUGUAACAUACAUAGAUUAAAAGAAAACAAUACAUAGAUGCAGAGAUUGGUAAAUUUUCACAAAGUAAACAUUCCUGAGUAAUUAUCACACAGAUCAAGAAAAAGAACAUUUAAAGUAAUUCAGAGGGCUCCCCAUGUGUCUUAAAUCAUCAAAUUCCACAAGUGUAACAAUAUCUAGACAUCUAACAUCAUAGUUUAGUUAUGCAUAUUUUAAAAACAUUAUAAAUGUAGACUCAUACAGUUAAUGCACAUCUGUGUUUGGUUAUGUUUGUGAGAUUUGUGUAUGAUUUCCGCUGAGGAGAUUGACUCAUAUUUAUUUUACCAUUGUAUCAUGUUCAUUUUCAUUAAUGUCUAUUAUUCAAGGAUAUAAUUAUGGCAAAGUUGAUUUAUCUGUAAACUAUAGAUAAGCAUUUGGAUGCUUACAGUUUUUCUGAUAUACAAUAGUGCUAACAUAAACUUUAGUUUUUAUGUUGUUCAAUUAACAUAGUAACAUGCUUUUAGUUUAGCACGUACCAAGGAGGGAAAUUCCGGGGCCGUGUGUGCUUGUAUGGCUAAUUUUUAUAGAUACUGUAUUGGCACUUCCUCAAUCUAGUUGAUCCAAUUUACUCUUUCAAAAGUAAGUGUUCUAAUUUCUGCAAAUCUUCAAGAAGACUUACCAUUGUAUAUUUAUUUUUCUGUUAGCCAGUCUAAUAAAUGCAUGCUAAUAUCUCAAUGUUUUUUAGCUUGCAUGAAAUAAGAAAUUGGAUAUCUUCUCCUUGUGAAGUGUCUGUUCAAGUAUUCUGCUCAUUCAUUACUUAUUUCAUUAUUAGUUUGUACAUUAUUUAGUAUUUAAAUUUUUUCAAAUAUUGUUAUUACAAAUAUGAUUAACUCAUUAUUUGGUUUUCAUUUAGUCAAGUGUGGUUUGGUAAGUGGAAACUCAUAAUGCGUAUGUACUAAUGGUCAUAAUUUUUCUCUUUAUUUAGUGUAUCUUGGAUACUUCCAAAGGACUACGUAUGUAUGCCAAGUUUUAGGGCUGUUUUUCAGGUUUACAUCUAGAAACUUAAGUUUUUAUUAUUUAUACUUCAAUAUUUAAUCAAUCAGAACUUUUGUGCAAAAUGAAAGAAUAUCUAUUAUUUUAUAUAUUAAUAUACAAAUGACCAUUUAUUAAAAAUAGAAUCCCACACAAUUUAUUAAAAAAUUAGCAAUAUCACACUGCAAUGAGUUUUGCCAUGUGAUAAAUCAGUUAGUAAUUAAUGAAUGUAUCUGUUGUUGGAAUGUGAUAUCUACCAUUGGACAAUCCGUUGACAAACAGCACUUUGUAGUAAUUAUAACGUUAUAAUAUGAAUGUAUGUAUGUAGCUCAAAUUUUACAUACACCUGAGAGUAGAAUGUUGGCUUUUUUGUUUGACACAUAUAUCCUUCUAAGUAUUGUCAUAUGGCAGAAACUUAUAUAAAUUAACAUAUAUAAUUUAGUCUGUUGUCUAGACUGAAUUUUUUAAGGGUUUUUUUUUCUUACUUUUCAGACUUAUUUUUCUCUCUUCUUGCAUCUAUAAACAUUGUUAUUUGACUCAUACAGUUAAUGCACAUCUGCUUUUGGUUAUGUUUAUGAGAUGUGUGUGAUUUCUGCUGAGGAGACUCACUCAUACUUAUUGUACCGUUAUAUCAUAUUCACUUUCAUUGAUGUAUAUUAUUCAAAAAUAUGAUUAUGGCUAAGUUUAUUUAUAUGUAAACUGUAGAUAAGGAUUUGGGUGCUUCCAGUUUUUCUGAUAUACAGUAGUGCUACCAUAAACUUUUUCAUUGUCUAUAUAUUAUAUAUAUAUAAUUGUAGAGUCUAAAUGGUAGUUUCUUCUUUUAGAGAGUGUUAACCUUUUUGUUUGUUAAGUAGCUAGACCCUUAUUGCUUUAUAAAAAUCAGAAAUAGAAAUACGUCAUUUGGAUUAUAGUUUGAAAAAUACUCUCUUAAUUCAGGUUUACAUACAUACAUCAUCUUUAUGUUAUCUUAUGUAUAAAAUUGUAUAUUUAAAAUGAUAUCCUCUUUUCUGGGCUCCGUUAGCAAUUAUUUUUCUGUCUGCAUUGUCUUCUCAUUCCCACAAGCUUGAUAAUACAUUCAGUCUAGUUUCACUGGUUUUGCCUUAGCUUCUAACCUUCUUGUCUUCACAAUUUAGCAGAUUUAUUCAGGAGAAAGCGAUCAUGGAUUUAGCACCUAUGCAAUGAUAAUUCUUUUUUUACUGUGACACUACAAUAUAACCAAAAGUUUUGUCAGUUUGACUGUCCUUCAGUAGCGACCCUGUGGCAAAGGGUGAAGAACACAAUUUUUAAUCUCAUGUGUUUUCUGAGAUUUGAGAAAUUCCCAUGAAAAUAAAUGGCUGAAAAAAAUUUAGAAUACUUCUUUUUGAUUCUCCCCUAUGCAAACUCUUUGCCCUUCUACUUCUCACUGCUUCAAUAGUUCUCUUAUUUCUCUGAAAAUAGGAUAGAUAAACAUGUUAUGCAACUUUCUUGUUGUUCUCAGCAGUAAUAUUAGAAUACUACAAGCUAUUAUAGCCUAACACAUUUUUUAUUGCUGACAGAUUUACUCACUGAUGAUAGCAUUUGAAGUAUAUAUAUAUAUACUUAUAUAUAUAUAUAAAAGUUAUAUUUUCUCUAGCGCGAUUUAAUAUUGUCAGUUUUACUGCAUCACCAUUAGCACAGG